rnacentral:rRNA from 1 species
AUUGAACGCUGGCGGCAGGCCUAACACAUGCAAUUCGAACGAGUGGCGGACGGGUGAGUAAUGUCUGGGAAACUGCCUGAUGGAGGGGGAUAACUACUGGAAACGGUAGCUAAUACCGCAUCCCAUCAGAUGUGCCCCGAUGGGAUUAGCUUGUUGGUGGGGUAACGGCUCCCCAGGGCGACGAUCCCUAGUUGGUCUGAGAGGAUGACCAGCCACACGGGAACUGAGACAAGGUCCAGACUCAUACGGGAGGCAGAAGUGGGGAAUAUUGCACAAUGGGCGCAAGCCUGAUGCAGCCAUGCCGCGUGUAUGAAGAAGGCAUUCGGGUUGUAAAGUACUUUCAGCGGGGAGGCGUUACCCGCAGAAGAAGCACCGGCUAACUCCGUGCCAGCAGCCGCGGUAAUAC